rnacentral:rRNA from 1 species
CCUACGGGUGGCAGCAGUGGGGGAUAUUGCACAAUGGGGGGAACCCUGAUGCAGCGACGCCGCGUGGGUGAAGAAGCGCCUCGGCGCGUAAAGCCCUGUCAGCAGGGAAGAAAAUGACGGUACCUGAAGAAGAAGCCCCGGCUAACUACGUGCCAGCAGCCGCGGUAAUACGUGGGGGGCAAGCGUUAUCCGGAUUUACUGGGUGGAAAGGGGGCGCAGACGGCGAUGCAAGCCAGGAGUGAAAGCCCGGGGCCCAACCCCGGGACUGCUCUUGGAACUGCGUGGCUGGAGUGCAGGAGGGGAAGGCGGACUUCCUGGUGUGGCGGGUAAUGCGUAGAUAUCAGGAGGAACACCGGUGGCGAAGGCGGCCUGCUGGACUGCAACUGACGUUGAGGCCCGAAAGCGUGGGGAGCAAACAGGAUUAGAUACCCCAGUAGUC